rnacentral:tRNA from 1 species
GCCUGGGUGGCUCAGUCGGUUGAGUGUCCGACUUCAGCUCAGGUCAUGAUCUCGAGGUUCAUGAGUUCAAGUCCCUUAUCGGGCU